ensembl:lncRNA
GGAAGGAUUCCCCUACAGAUUUCUGAGGGAGGAUGGCCCUGCCAACAGCUUGGUCUCAGACUUCUAGACUCCAGAAAGAAAGCAGAAAUCUGUCCUGGAGUACUCUGGUGUGGUGCUACCACGCAGAUGCGUGCUUCUAGGACAACCUGCAGAGGCUCUGAGCUAGGAUUCCAGAGACGCUGAAAUGAAGACGACACAGUCAUCAUCUGGUUGGGGAGAGAGAUACAUAAAACAAACAGAAGAUAAUGUGGCAAAUACAUUCAGAGAUAGACUCAGGUACAGGGAGGGCACCUCUCACGUGUGGGUUUUAUGACCUGCUUCAGGGGAAAGUCCUUCCUGCACGUGCCAUUUCUCACAUUCCUUCAGCUUGAAAUAUUCAAUAUGCCAAGGUGCCACAUUUUGGAGGAAUGUGUCCUGAACCCCGUGAGAAACCAAAGCUGAGCGAUCCAGCCAAGAUUCAGGAUCCUUCUCUGAAGUGUUCCCAGGACACCAUUUCUCAGCCGGUUCCUAUCAAAGUGCCAGCGGGUGUUUGUUACCAGGAUACUAACUCCCAUACGGACUUUAAGGUGCUUCAGCUGCCCUGCCCUGGGGGAUCCAGUUCUACUGCGGAGCUCCUGGGGGUCCUGGAUGGGCUGGACCCUGAUCCUUCUGGACAGCUGAGAUCUAACAGGUGCCGAUCGUGUCAGGAUCCAGAGAGAAGUAACAGAAGGAGUAAAUACGCUGAGCCAGGAAAAAGCCCGGUGCUCUAAAUGCAGAAAGGCCAGAGUGGCUCAAGCAAAGUGAAUGGAAGGACGAUGGAACGAGGCUGAGAUGAGAGAGGCCAGCAGGCCCAGAUCCUGUGGGGUUCUGAGGCUCAGGGGAGGGGUUCGGGAGUGCGUGUGCAAACACACAGGGGUGUGCGUGUGUGUGUGUGUGUGUGUGUGUGUGUGUGUGUGUUUUGAGAGAAAGGAAUGAACGUGAUCUGACGUGUUUAAAAGGUCGCUCUUGGGGAUAAGGGUGACCAAUUACGAGACCAUAAAAUAAACCAGGCAGGAGGUAAAGAUGACUUGGGUUAGGGUAGUGUUAAAAGAUAAACUGAGGCAAAUUUAAAAUUUUAAGAGUUUAUUUGAGCAAAAUUCGAUUAUUCGAAUCAGGCAUCAGCAAACAGGGAGUAGUCAGGAGCACUCCACUGCCAGGCACUGAGGAGAGACCUACCGAGAGAAGGCGGGAGCAAACCAAGGAAAUCAUUGGCUCAGCUCAAAGCCUAGCUGGCUGUUUGUGAUUGGUUGUCCUUAGCGUUUCAUUUUUGUAACCUUGAGCCAUUUACGGGCUCAGAUUUGGGUUUGCUGAUAUAGGCCACCACAGCAUGACAGCCCCCUCAGUCUAGUGGCCUCUGGUUUAAUUAAUUUAACAGUAGCUACAGUGGGAGAGGUGCCAAGGGGGCCUAUUUGGGCAAUAGCAUGAAAGUAGGUAACAACAUUAUGUUGUAUAUUUGAAAGUUGCUAAGAGAGUAAAUCUUAAAACUUCCUAUCACAAGGCAAAAAAAUUUGUACCUCUGUGGUGUGAUGGAUGUUAACUAAACCUAUUGUGUUGAUCAUUUUGCAAUAUAUACAUAUGUCAGAUCAUUAUGCUGUACACUUAAAGCCAAUACAAUGUUAUGUGUCAAUUAUAUCUCAAUAAAAUUGGAAAAAAAUUUAAAAUAAAAUAAUUUCUAAAAGAAAGUAGA